rnacentral:rRNA from 1 species
AGUGAGGGCAUGGGUGCUAAGGUCCAUGUCCGAGAGGGAAAGAACCCGGACCAUCAGCUAAGGUCCCCAAAUAUGUGCUAAGUUGACAAAACGCGGUGGGACUGCACAGACAGCCAGGAUGUUGGCUUGGAAGCAGCCAUUCAUUUAAAGAGUGCGUAACAGCUCACUGGUCGAGCGGUCCCGCAUGGAUAAUGAUCGGGCAUAAGCACAUUACCGAAGCUAUGGCAUCGAAAGAUGGGUAGGGGAGCAUUCCGUUCUGCGUUGAAGCGGGCCUGCGAGGUCCCGUGGAGCGUACGGAAACGAAAAUGUAGGCAUAAGUAACGAUAAUGCGGGCGAGAAACCCGCACGCCGAAAGACCAAGGUUUCCCCGGCCAUGCUAAUCAGCCGGGGGUCAGUCGGGACCUAACACGAACCCGGAAGGGGCAGUGGAUGGACAACGGGUUAAUAUUCCCGUACCCGCAAUGCGACAAAAGUGACGGGGCGCCAUAGUUGGUGCGUGCUGACGGAAUAGCACGUUGAAGCGUAAGCGAUAGUACGACAAGGCCACGGCCGCGUCGAUAAUCCAGCGGAGGCGCCUCCAAGAAAAGCGAGCAUUGCGGCCCGUACCGUAAACCGACACAGGUGGUCGGGAUGAGAAUUCUAAGGCGCUCGAGAGAUUCAUGGUUAAGGAACUAGGCAAAAUGGACGCGUAACUUCGGGAGAAGCGUCGCUCCCCCCAGGGGGAGCCGCAGUGAAUAGGCCCAGGCGACUGUUUAUCAAAAACACAGGGCUCUGCCAAAUCGAAAGAUGAAGUAUAGGGCCUGACACCUGCCCGGUGCCGGAAGGUUAAAGGGAGACGUCAGCCACUUGUGGUGAAGCGUUGAACUGAAGCCCCGGUAAACGGCGGCCGUAACUAUAACGGUCCUAAGGUAGCGAAAUUCCUUGUCGGGUAAGUUCCGACCUGCACGAAUGGCGUAAUGAUCUGGGCACUGUCUCAACCAUGAUCUCGGUGAAAUUGUAGUAUCGGUGAAGAUGCCGGUUACCCGCAGUGGGACGAAAAGACCCCGUGCACCUUUACUAUAGCUUCGUAUUGACCUUGGUCAAACAAUGUGUAGGAUAGCUGGGAGGCUUUGAAGCUGCGUCGCCAGGCGUGGUGGAGCCGUUGUUGAAAUACCAGCCUUUGUUUGAUCGGGGCCUAACCUCUAACGAGGGACAGUGCGUGGUGGGUAGUUUGACUGGGGUGGUCGCCUCCAAAAGAGUAACGGAG